AGGGCCUUAGCUUAAUUAAAGUGUCUGGGUUGCAUUCAGAAGAUGUGGGGUAAAGUCCCGCAGGUCUUA
rnacentral:tRNA from 1 species